AUUGAACGCUGGCGGCAGGCCUAACACAUGCAAGUCGAGCGGAUGAAGGGAGCUUGCUCCUGGAUUCAGCGGCGGACGGGUGAGUAAUGCCUAGGAAUCUGCGUGGUAGUGGGGGAUAACGUCCGGAAACGGGCGCUAAUACCGCAUACGUCCUGAGGGAGAAAGUGGGGGAUCUUCGGACCUCACGCUAUCAGAUGAGCCUAGGUCGGAUUAGCUAGUUGGUGGGGUAAAGGCCUACCAAGGCGACGAUCCGUAACUGGUCUGAGAGGAUGAUCAGUCACACUGGAACUGAGACACGGUCCAGACUCCUACGGGAGGCAGCAGUGGGGAAUAUUGGACAAUGGGCGAAAGCCUGAUCCAGCCAUGCCGCGUGUGUGAAGAAGGUCUUCGGAUUGUAAAGCACUUUAAGUUGGGAGGAAGGGCAGUAAGUUAAUACCUUGCUGUUUUGACGUUACCAACAGAAUAAGCACCGGCUAACUUCGUG
rnacentral:rRNA from 1 species